GUCAAAGCAACCAUCCAGCAGCAGAACAGCUGUUUAGACGUUCGUCACACUUCACGGGGAAAGCGAAAUCUAUUGUAGUGUUAGCGGUGUUCGUUACACACGCAACACCAUUAAGAAAAUUCUAUUCAGCAUAAAAAAAAUUUUAUGUGAAACGUAUUCGAGCGAAGUUUUUACGAUAUUAGAGUCUGCAUUGUUAUCUGUGUGAUUGGACUUUGAUAAGAACAACCAUAUUAAUUUUUAAUAAUUAGAUGUGGAAGGAUUAGAAUUCUUUGUAAACUUUUACAAAUGUCUAAUAAGACUAUAAUUCACAGUUUCUGGAUGUUUUUGAAGCAGCAGGAUUUUCAUAUUUGUACAAAUUGUUAGCUACAAUUGCACAGAAUGCAUAGACAUGCUCUCACGUAAUUGGACAUCAAGAUUUCUCUAUACACAGGUAUAAAAUUUACGCUUAUUCAAUGUUAAUAGAACAACAAUUUGAUAUGCUGCCUCGGAGAAGGAGAGGUACGUUUGGUCUUUCCACACCACGCUGAUACAUAUUCCUUCUUCUUUGCCUUUUUGUACAGUUAACUGAUUCCUUCUUCACCGAGUCUUUAUUCACACUAUUUAUUGCAGAAUUCGUAGCUGCACGAUCCUGGAUGGAUUCUUCUUUAACAUCAUCGUUACUAGAACUCUCCUCAUCUGCAUUCUUCGAACACGUACUUUGCCAGUACUUCAUUUCACCCCUCUCGAGGAGGUCCAAGUGUUCAGGAUGUACCAUUGCUUUCUCGAUGGCCAGACGAUCCUCUUUAGACAAUUUCUGCAACUUUUCAUCCAUCAUUGCUGCCUCACCCGGAGCGAAAGUCCAACGGCAACCUUUUUGUUGAUGUUCAUACCCUAGGCACUUCACAAAGUUUUUGUUGAACCAUAGAUAAUGAGUGAUGGAGUCCUUCCAGCGGUCUGGCGUGGUUUUAAAAUAUGGAAAGUGUCGACUGGAAAAUGAUAUUUAGAACUUUACCAGCUGAUCAUUUCUUUUUUUUCUGAAACUUUACAGUUCGCAUCCAACUUACCGCAUGAAAUCAUAUAUCUCUGUGGUUGUUGCAGUACCCGAAGGGCUAUUCUUUAACGCCAUUGCGAUCAGGCAGUGGUAAGGGUAAGGGGGUUUGAGAUAGGACCUAGUAUCAUUAUCCGACUGAUCAGAUUCAUUAUCAUUUAUGCCACUAGUGGCUUCUGAAUUGAUUUGUGAAUUAUUAUUGCAGCUUUUUUUCUGUGAUGUCUGAAUAAGAUUCUGCAGCAUUUUCAAGCUUCGAGCCCUGAUCUCUGACAUGCCAUUCGUUUCUGGGACUUUUGUACACCGAGGGGAAGCAGACUCAGGCAUCACCGACUUGGAAGUCUCUUGUUCAUCCUCAAAAUUCUCUUCCAUUUUGACAAGGACCAUCUCGUAUUGUCCUAUCAUGGUAUCCUCAUUUUCGUUCACCUGUUCCUUCUUCACUUCUAUUUUAUUCUCAUCCUCAUCUUUAUUUCCAUCUGUCUUCUUAUUCUGAUGUUCUUUGUCAUUUAGGUUCUCUGGAAGAGCGUUAUCCUCCUCGACGUCGAUCUUCUCCUUUUUCACCCCCUCCUCAAAAGAAAUAUUCCUCCUUUCAUUGUCUGAAGUCUGUUGGAUUUCUGUUCGAGGGAUUGGAGAAAUGGGACUGAGAUCAGAAUCGAAAUUGCUGAAAAAUAAUAAAGCUUUAUUAAUUUAUCACCUUGUGAUCCAAGGACACUGUAAGUAUCAAGGGAUGCUGUUUAAGAACUCCUUGUACGCGGCCACAGCUGUCUCCGAGGUCUCAAAGCGUUGCCCUCUGACGCUGUCCUUAACUUUAGGAAAUAAAAAGAAGUCUGAAGGGGCUAAAUCUGGACUAUCCGGCGGAUGAGCGAGAACAGAGACUCCUAAUUUGUUUAAAAAAGCGACCGUCUCGUUGAACGAAUGAAGCAACGUGUUGUGAUGUAAGAUGAUCUCUUUCUGAUCCUCGGUUUUUAAUCUUUUCUUUCGGAACUUGUCAAACACCUGAGCCAAACAAA